AGAAUCAACGCUGGCGGCGUGCCUAACACAUGCAAGUCGAACGAGAAAGUGGAGCAAUCCAUGAGUAAAGUGGCGCACGGGUGAGUAACACGUGACUAACCUACCCUGGAGUGGGGGAUAACUGAGGGAAACCUUAGCUAAUACCGCAUAAUACCUACGGGUCAAAGGAGCAAUUCGCUUCAGGAGGGGGUCGCGGCCGAUUAGUUAGUUGGCGGGGUAAUGGCCCACCAAGACAGUGAUCGGUAUCCGGCCUGAGAGGGCGCACGGACACACUGGAACUGAAACACGGUCCAGACUCCUACGGGAGGCAGCAGUGGGAAUUUGCGCAAUGGGGGAAACCCUGACGCAGCAACGCCGCGUGGAGGAUGAAGUCCUUCGGGACGUAAACUCCUUUCGAUCGGGACGAUUAUGACGGUACCGGAAGAAGAGCCCGGCUAACUUCGCGCCAGCAGCCGC
rnacentral:rRNA from 1 species